rnacentral:rRNA from 1 species
ACGAACCACCCAAACGUUAUUCGGAAUUACUGGGCUUAAAGAGUGCGUAGGCGGUCUUGAAAGUAGGGUGUGAAAUCCCACAGCUCAACUGUGGAACUGCGCUCUAAACUACAAGACUAGAGGGAUAUAGAGGUGAGCAGAACUGAUGGUGGAGCGGUGAAAUGCGUUGAUAUCAUCAGGAAUACCGGAGGCGAAGGCGGCUCACUGGGUAUCUUCUGACGCUGAGGUACGAAAGCUAGGGGAGCGAACGGGA